UACGUAGGGGGGCUAGCGUUGUCCGGAAUCAUUGGGCGUAAAGCGCGUGUAGGCGGUCCGGUAAGUCCGCUGUGAAAGUCGAGGGCUCAACCCUCGAAUGCCGGUGGAUACUGUCGGGCUAGAGUACGGAAGAGGCGAGUGGAAUUCCUGGUGUAGCGGUGAAAUGCGUAGAUAUCAGGAGGAACACCUGUGGUGUAGACAGCUUACUGGACCAUAACUGACGCUGAGGCACGAAAGCGUGGGUAGCAAACAGG
rnacentral:rRNA from 1 species